AGAGUUUGAUCCUGGCUCAGGAUGAACGCUGGCGGCGUGCCUAACACAUGCAAGUCGAACGAAGCUUGACGGAUGAUUUCUUCGGAAUGAAACCUGAUAUGACUUAGUGGCGGACGGGUGAGUAACACGUGAGCAACCUGCCUUUCAGAGGGGGAUAACGGCUGGAAACGGUCGCUAAUACCGCAUGAUGUGUUCGGAUGGCAUCAUCUGAACAUCAAAGAUUUAUCGCUGAAAGAUGGGCUCGCGUCUGAUUAGAUAGUUGGUGGGGUAACGGCCUACCAAGUCUACGAUCAGUAGCCGGACUGAGAGGUUGAACGGCCACAUUGGGACUGAGAUACGGCCCAGACUCCUACGGGAGGCAGCAGUGGGGAAUAUUGCACAAUGGGGGAAACCCUGAUGCAGCAACGCCGCGUGAAGGAUGACGGUUUUCGGAUUGUAAACUUCUUUUCUUAGUGACGAAGACAGUGACGGUAGCUAAGGAAUAAGCAUCGGCUAACUACGUGCCAGCAGCCGCGGUAAUACGUAGGAUGCAAGCGUUAUCCGGAUUUACUGGGUGUAAAGGGAGCGCAGGCGGGACUGCAAGUUGGAUGUGAAAUACCGUGGCUUAACCACGGAACUGCAUCCAAAACUGUAGUUCUUGAGUGAAGUAGAGGCAAGCGGAAUUCCGAGUGUAGCGGUGAAAUGCGUAGAUAUUCGGAGGAACACCAGUGGCGAAGGCGGCUUGCUGGGCUUUAACUGACGCUGAGGCUCGAAAGUGUGGGGAGCAAACAGGAUUAGAUACCCUGGUAGUCCACACUGUAAACGAUGAUAGCUAGGUGUGGGGGGUCUGACCCCUUCCGUGCCGGAGUUAACGCAAUAAGCUAUCCACCUGGGGAGUACGAC
rnacentral:rRNA from 1 species